rnacentral:rRNA from 1 species
UGGGCGUAAGGGCUCGCAGGCGGUUUCUUAAGUCUGAUGUGAAAGCCCCCGGCUCAACCGGGGAGGGUCAUUGGAAACUGGGAAACUUGAGUGCAGAAGAGGAGAGUGGAAUUCCACGUGUAGCGGUGAAAUGCGUAGAGAUGUGGAGGAACACCAGUGGCGAAGGCGACUCUCUGGUCUGUAACUGACGCUGAGGAGCGAAAGCGUGGGGAGCGAACAGGAUUAGAUACCCUGGUAGUCCACGCCGUAAACGAUGAGUGCUAAGUGUUAGGGGGUUUCCGCCCCUUAGUGCUGCAGCUAACGCAUUAAGCACUCCGCCUGGGGAGUACGGUCGCAAGACUGAAACUCAAAGGAAUUGACGGGGGCCCGCACAAGCGGUGGAGCAUGUGGUUUAAUUCGAAGCAACGCGAAGAACCUUACCAGGUCUUGACAUCCUCUGACAACCCUAGAGAUAGGGCUUUCCCUUCGGGGACAGAGUGACAGGUGGUGCAUGGUUGUCGUCAGCUCGUGUCGUGAGAUGUUGGGUUAAGUCCCGCAACGAGCGCAACCCUUGAUCUUAGUUGCCAGCAUUCAGUUGGGCACUCUAAGGUGACUGCCGGUGACAAACCGGAGGAAGGUGGGGAUGACGUCAAAUCAUCAUGCCCCUUAUGACCUGGGCUACACACGUGCUACAAUGGACAGAACAAAGGGCUGCAAGACCGCAAGGUUUAGCCCAUCCCAUAAAUCUGUUCUCAGUUCGGAUCGCAGUCUGCAACUCGACUGCGUGAAGCUGGAAUCGCUAGUAAUCGCGGAUCAGCAUGCCGCGGUGA